CAAUCUUCAUCAUCACACAAGACACAACAACAACAAUGAACAACAUCAUCAUCCUCAUCUGGACUCUGACUCUCUGCAUUCAGGGGAUCUGGGGACAAAUGACAGUGACUCAGAAUCCAGAAAUAAAAUCCAUCAAACGAGGAGAAACUGUUACGAUCAGCUGUAAAACCAGUCAGACACUUACUAGCUGUGGUACCUGUGUGUCUUGGUAUCUGCAGAAACCUGGAGAAGCUCCUAAACUCCUCAUUUAUUACAUAAACACCCUCCAGUCAGGAACUCCAUCUAGAUUCAGUGGCAGUGGAACUAACAGUGAUUUCACUCUGACCAUCAGUGGAGUCCAGACUGAAGAUACAGGAGAUUAUUACUGUCAGAGUGUACACCUGAUCAGUAAUAGCUGGGUGUCCACACAGUGA